rnacentral:tRNA from 1 species
GGCUCGAUAGCUUAGUUGGUAAUGCACUUGUCUAGCGAAUAAGGGUCGUGAGUUCAAAUCUCACCUGAGCUG